rnacentral:rRNA from 1 species
GAGUUUGAUCCUGGCUCAGGACGAACGCUGGCGGCGUGCCUAACACAUGCAAGUCGAACGGGGAUAUUGAUUUCGGUUGAUAUCCCAGUGGCGAACGGGUGAGUAACGCGUGAGCAACCUGACCUUUUGAGGGGGAUAACACCUGGAAACAAGUGCUAAUACCGCAUAAGACCACGGAGCGGCAUCGUUCAGGGGUCAAAGGAGGAAUCCGCAGAAGGAGGGGCUCGCGUCCCAUUAGAUAGUAGGCGGGGUAACGGCCCACCAAGUCGACGAUCGGUAGCCGGACUGAGAGGUUGAUCGGCCACAUUGGGACUGAGACACGGCCCAGACUCCUACGGGAGGCAGCAGUGAGGGAUAUUGGGCAAUGGGGGAAACCCUGACCCAGCAACGCCGCGUGAGGGAUGACGGUUUUCGGAUUGUAAACCUCUGUCCUCUGUGAAGAUAGUGACGGUAGCAGAGGAGGAAGCUCCGGCUAACUACGUGCCAGCCGCCGCGGUAAUAC